GACGAACGCUGGCGGCGUGCUUAACACAUGCAAGUCGAACGGAAAGGCCCUGCUUUUGUGGGGUGCUCGAGUGGCGAACGGGUGAGUAACACGUGAGUAACCUGCCCUUGACUUUGGGAUAACUUCAGGAAACUGGGGCUAAUACCGGAUAGGAGCUCCUGCUGCAUGGUGGGGGUUGGAAAGUUUCGGCGGUUGGGGAUGGACUCGCGGCUUAUCAGCUUGUUGGUGGGGUAGUGGCUUACCAAGGCUUUGACGGGUAGCCGGCCUGAGAGGGUGACCGGCAACAUUGGGACUGAGAUACGGCCCAGACUCCUACGGGAGGCAGCAGUGGGGAAUAUUGCACAAUGGGCGGAAGCCUGAUGCAGCAACGCCGCGUGCGGGAUGACGGCCUUCGGGUUGUAAACCGCUUCCGCCUGUGACGAAGCGUGAGUGACGGUAAUGGGUAAAGAAGCACCGGCUAACUACGUG
rnacentral:rRNA from 1 species